rnacentral:rRNA from 1 species
CCUACGGGAGGCAGCAGUGGGGAAUCUUAGACAAUGGGGGAAACCCUGAUCUAGCCAUGCCGCGUGAGCGAUGAAGGCCUUAGGGUUGUAAAGCUCUUUCAGUGGGGAAGAUAAUGACGGUACCCACAGAAGAAGCCCCGGCUAACUACGUGCCAGCAGCCGCGGUAAUACGUAGGGUGCGAGCGUUAAUCGGAAUUACUGGGCGUAAAGCGUGCGCAGGCGGUUGUGCAAGACAGGUGUGAAAUCCCCGGGCUUAACCUGGGAACUGCAUUUGUGACUGCACAGCUAGAGUUUGUCAGAGGGGGGUGGAAUUCCACGUGUAGCAGUGAAAUGCGUAGAUAUGUGGAAGAACACCGAUGGCGAAGGCAGCCCCCUGGGAUGAGACUGACGCUCAUGCACGAAAGCGUGGGGAGCAAACAGGAUUAGAUACCCUGGUAGUCCACGCCCUAAACGAUGUCGACUAGUUGUCGGGGGGUAACACUCUUGGUAACGCAGCUAACGCGUGAAGUCGACCGCCUGGGGAGUACGGUCGCAAGAUUAAAACUCAAAGGAAUUGACGG